rnacentral:rRNA from 1 species
CAGUAGCCGCGGGAAUACAGAGGGUGCAAGCGUUAAUCGGAAUUACUGGGCGUAAAGCGCGCGUAGGUGGUUUGUUAAGUUGGAUGUGAAAUCCCCGGGCUCAACCUGGGAACUGCAUCCAAAACUGGCAAGCUAGAGUACGGUAGAGGGUGGUGGAAUUUCCUGUGUAGCGGUGAAAUGCGUAGAUAUAGGAAGGAACACCAGUGGCGAAGGCGACCACCUGGACUGAUACUGACACUGAGGUGCGAAAGCGUGGGGAGCAAACAGGAUUAGAUACCCCAGUAGUCCCUGUCUCUUAUAC